rnacentral:rRNA from 1 species
UACGUAGGUCCCGAGCGUUGUCCGGAUUUAUUGGGCGUAAAGCGAGCGCAGGUGGUUUAUUAAGUCUGGUGUAAAAGGCAGUGGCUCAACCAUUGUAUGCAUUGGAAACUGGUAGACUUGAGUGCAGGAGAGGAGAGUGGAAUUCCAUGUGUGGCGGUGAAAUGCGUAGAUAUAUGGAGGAACACCGGUGGCGAAAGCGGCUCUCUGGCCUGUAACUGACACUGAGGCUCGAAAGCGUGGGGAGCAAACAGG